UACGUAGGGUGCGAGCGUUAAUCGGAUUUACUGGGCGUAAAGCGUGCGCAGGCGGCCCGUUAAGACAGGUGUGAAAUCCCUGGGCUCAACCUAGGAAUUGCGCUUGUGACUGGCGGGCUCGAGUACGGUAGAGGGGGGUGGAAUUCCUGGUGUAGCAGUGAAAUGCGUAGAUAUCGGGAGGAAGGUCGGUGGCGAAGGCGGCCUCCUGGGCCUGUACUGACGCUCAUGCACGAAAGCGUGGGGAGCAAACAGG
rnacentral:rRNA from 1 species